rnacentral:lncRNA from 1 species
GAUGGGGAACGGAGAGAGGAGCUCACAUCGAGCCUGUAGGUGAGCAAAGCGGGCUCGGGGAGGUUCCUAUGAGGCCGAAUCGAAGAUGGCAAGCAGCGGGGCGGAGGUUGAAGAUGGCCUCGAUCCGGUCGAUGUGGGGGCUCCCGGCUUGACCUCGUGGGCGAGGAAGACGAAGUAGACGUCAGCGGUUCCGCCGGACCUCCCAACUCGGCGUGGGGCGAUGAUGGCCGCGAGGUCGACGGCAACAGCGGUGAUGGAGGCGUUCGGGAGUGGGGCAAAACUGGAGAGGGGAUCGCCUGGGAGAGGGGGGAGUGGACGAGAGCGGGAGUGAGGCCAGGAAGGAACCGAGGCGCCAGGGGGGCGGCCUUAUCUUCCCAUCGGUGGUGUACGGGGCGCGAUGUCGGUCCGGCGGGGACGAGUGGGAGCCCCGUCCCGGUCGGUCGUACAGGGAAAGAGAGGGAGAUGACCUGGGGAAGGGUUGGGCCGGUCGGUCUAGAUGGGCUACCUUCGCCUUUCGGGCCAAGAGGCCCAGGGGGUCCUUUUCUUUUCUUUUCGCCUUUUCUCCUUUUAGGUUUCUGUUUUCUUUUUGUUUUCUAUAAAACAGAGAUAGAGGGAAAAGUUUGGGCUACCAAAAUACUUUGAAAAUUGUGGGACUAGGCCACUUAAUUUCUUUGUAUUGUUUGGCACUGACAUAAAAAGUUUGAGGGGCAACUAAAUUCAUUUGGAUUUUUCACAAGUAAAAUAGCAUCUUAAAAUGCUGAAACGGCACUAUUUUAUUUGCUAUAGUCCAUCUUAACUUGGAGGUGAUGUUGUUUUCCUUAACAAUCAUUUGUUAAGGAAUUUUGGCUAAAUGAUGAACUAUUUUGCAGCAACUUUUAUGCAACUCCAAAUUUCACUUGCAAAUUCCAUUUGCUUUGAAAGUGGAAUUUUCAAAGGAUAUCUGAAUCAAAGGGGGAUCAUGCACUGUUUAGUAAAAUGAUUAGCUUAAUCACAGAGGGUUACUGUAGCAUGACACUGGGGGUGUUACAAAUCUCUUCCACUACAAGAAAUCUCGUCCCGAGAUUUAAGUGGGGAAGAAAAGAGUAACUUCGGGAGAACUGACCCUUAUGGGUUUAAUUGUCUGGUGAACAAUGCAGGUAAUGUGACAGAAGUAUCUCUCGAGUUGAAAUUUAAGAAUAACAUCGAGAGCAAAAUAUGAAGGUACAAUAAGAAGUUUCAAGCGGAUGGACAAUCGAUCGAUACCUGAACAGAGUAUGAGAAGGGGUUCAUAGCACAGGAAUAGAUCAUCCCUCGGGGGGGGGGGUGGCUCGUGACAUGAUACGAAGCCAAAUGCAAGAAUGUUUCGGAAUCAAAGAUAUACAGGAGAGUCAGGUUUCGAUCGUGUGGAACUAUGGGUUAUGGGCCCAUCGUGUGGGUUAAAAGCAGGAAGGCGCUAAAAUUUUGCACGGCCAUGAUAGCAAGGCAGGUCAGAGGAUAGCCUGCCAAUUAUGUUGGCAACAGCGUUGGUACCAAGGGCGAGGGACAAAGAGAACCAUUUUCCUGCUCGUAAUACGAGGCGGACCAAUAGGCAAAGUUCUCGUCCAUCGGUGGUUACCGGAAUGUCAUCAACAAUAGUAACAGGGUCUUACUGACAGAGUUGUACACCGAGGUUCUUACUUAAGCAGGGAUUUAUCUAUGCUCAGACAAGUUAGAUGACAAGAAAGGUGAAACAAAACAAUGGAAAGGAAAAUGUGAUUAAUAUGAUAACCAUACCAAUGGAAAGGAAAGAUGUUUAUACCCAAGUGUUAGAGUAUAACUUUCCCAAGGAAAGGCAGAGCAUGAUAGGGCUCCAAGUAUUAAGCCGUUUAGACAAAGGGGCAAGGAAUUUAUGAGGUUUACCCAUACAACGGUGUUUGGAUAAUUGAUCAAGAACAGUUAGCAUUGCGCUCCCAAUGUUCUUGUUGAUGAUCGGAGUACCACACACAUGCUUCGGGAUAGUGUUGACAUGGUUAUCGGGGAAAGGACAGACUUCGGAUACACAAAGGAUCCAUUAGAAUAACUUAUAAAAUAAGUCAUACAAUUUCAGCAAGGAAAAGAUGAGGAUGGGGCCCACGGGCUCAGCAACAAUUCAUCGAGGGGGCAAGGAUGGUAUUUCUCAUCAUGAAUUCGGUUGAUAUCCUAGAAAAGUUUGGAAUGAUGAUGAUGAUCAUGACACAUUUGUCGAGAGCUUUCAUGAAGAUGUAAUCGAUCAACGACGACAUUAAGCAAAAGAAAUGAUGAAGCGUAAGGUAAAUUGAACUACGAGUACGACACAAGCUCGAAAGCAAGCUUGCUGUUCAUGGCAAAAUGGUAUGACGAGGAAGAUCGACAUAAGCUUAGCUCGUCGUCAAAAAUUGUGCUCCGGAAAGGACCUGGUAGCACAGUUAAAAUUUAGCAUGAUAAUGAUAUAACCGAUCAAGCUAGGAAUGAUGUGAUGGAGUAUCCUUCCAAUGAGAAUUCACAAGUGGUAGUGCAAUGACACAAUAUACUUGAGAUAACAAGGGGCAAUACUUGAGGUAGAUCAAAAAUAGAGGUUAGACAUAUGAAAUGAUCUGCAGAAGACAAGUAUUUUAACUUGUCUGGGAAAUGGAGUUAAGGAGAAACUAUGGUCAGAACCACGGUUACGAAUGAUCAAACCACCGAUACAAGAUGAACUUAUAACAAGGGGUAAUCAUUUUUAUGAGCAGCUUCCACGAUAAGUUCUACAUCGGGUCCAUGGGCAUGAACACAAGGGUUCAAGGUCGACUCCCACUUCUUCAAUGCAUAACCUUUCAUUCACUCCUCGUUUUUCAAAGGAAAUGUAGUGCAGAUGAUUUAUCUGGCGAAGUACCAGAAGAGUAAGACUCGUGAGAACUCUCGGGUUCACUCGGAUUACGGAAGGCAUAAGUUUAACCCAUCGGGGCAUUUUUUACGAAUCUAUACAACCAUCAACCAAGCAAAAGAUACGAGUUCAAAAGCAGAGUAUCGAAGUCAAAGCAGAUGAUACAAUAUAUCGAAGGUAUUAUGUAUCAGGGAAAAACUGAUAAGAUUUUGGAUGUGAAGGACACUGUCGGAUAACGACGCAGCAAUGGAUCAGGCGAUUCAUGACAGAGUUGAUGUGAGUAUCAGUAAUCAACCAGAUGAAGAAGGGGAUGCAAAGGCAUCAUCUUAUAUAAACGUCUGAAUGAUUCGAUGCUUGGGUACACAUGAAUUAUGAUUUCAAGACGAAGGAUCAGAAGCAGAGGCUCUGAUCAAAAUAUGAGUAAGUUGAAUAGACUUAGAGGUGCACCCGAUCAAAUCUUGAUUGGGCAAGAACCAGCUCAUAUUCGAAACAAUGUCUAAGCCGGAAAGAAAAUUUCCAAGGAUUAAUUGAUGAUCGUGUGCAUUCUCACACAUGUUGAAUCAAUAGGAUCAGAAUGUUAAUCCCAAAGGAUUUUAACAAAUAUCGCUAGACAAAUGGAAUUAACCAGAAAGCAAGUAUGCAAGAAUUCCAAGAGCAACAGGUUGUAGAGGAUUUUCGGAAGAUCAAAUAGUAUUUCGAAGAAUUUUGUGAAUCACACGAACAACUGAGGAUGAACUGAUCCUCGGUGAGUGCGAGGAAUUAUUCGAAGGGGGGGUAUUCAUGGGGCAAAGAACUGCAAGGCAGUAAGCUCAAAGGAUUCUCGAAACAAUAGAGAAUUUCGGGGCAUCUUGUAAUAUCAGAAGCAACUAGGGAUGAAGGUACAAGCGGCAAGGAUGUUAUUCAAGGGGAUUAUCGGUGGUUAGGAACUGCAAGGCAGUUGGUACAGGGUCUCGAGAAACAUCGAGGAGUAUCCGCAGAACCUUCUGGCGAAGCAAGCCAUCACCGAUAAUGUCGAGGCUCUCCGGGAGGAAGUGGGUACGAGAACCUAAUGUCAGAGUUUAGUAAAAUGGUUAACCCGAAUAGAAGAGAGAUCAGAGUCCCAGAGUAUAGACGAGGAAUAAAAGAUCCUAAUACCACCCAAUGGCGACGUGGGCCCAUAAGCCACACAGCCAAUGUUAGUAAAAGUUUUUCAGUGACUAGACUCAACUUCGGCCAAGGAGUUGGAAAGGGGGCUACCUACAGGCAGUCGGCUCUGAUACCAACUUGUGACGCCCUCGAUUCAAUCGUACACUAAUCAUGCACGCAAAUGUGUACAACCAAGAUCAAGGACUCACGGGAAGAUAUCACAACACAACUCUAGACACAAAUUAAAAUAAUACAAGCUUUAUAUUACAAGCCAUGGGCCUCGGGGGCUCGAAUACAUAAGCUCGAAUACACAAGAGUCAGCGGAAGCAACAAUAUCUGAGUACAGACAUAAGUUAGACAAGUUUGCCUUAAGAAGGCUAGCACAAAAGCAUCUACGAUCGAAAAGGCAAGGCCUGCUGCCUGGGAGCCUCCUAACUACUCCUGGUCGUUGGCGUCCUCCACGUAGUAGUAGGCACCCUCGGGGUUGUGGUAGUCAUCGUCAAAGGUGGCGUCUGGAUCCUGGGCUCCGACAUCUCUGGUUUCAUCAACCGGAAAGAAGAAGAAAGGGGGAAAAGGGGGAGCAAAGCAACCGUGAGUACUCAUCCAAAGUACUCGCAAGCAAGGAUCUACACUACAUAUGCAACAUUAUCAAAGAGGGGUUGUAUAUGUGGACUGGGCUGCAGAAAUGCCAGAAUAGAGAGAAGGCCUAGUCCUAUCAAAGACUAGCAUCUUCUGGAAACCACCAUCUUGCAGCAAACAAGAGGGAGUAGAGUAGCAUAAAUUGAAGUGGUAGUAGUGUUAUCAACCUCGGCCAGAGAUCCUUUCUCGACUCCCUGUGAGAAAGCAAUCCCAGAGCCAUACUAUCCAGUUAUCACCUCAUCACAAUCCAAUUCUCAUCACAAGUAUCCAGUUCUAGUUGUAUCGAUCGGGAUACAACUCCAAGUGUCCGUUACCGUAGGACAGGCUAUCGAUAGAUGUUUUCUUCCCUGCAGGGGUGCACCAACUUACCCACCACGCUCGCUUAACUCCGGCCGGACACACUUUCCAGGGUCAUGCCUGGCCUCGGCCAAACAAUACGCCGCAACCCCACCUAGGCUUAAUAGAGAGGCCAGCACGCCGUACUAAACCUAUGCCCCCAGGGGUCAUGGGCCAUCUCCCCGGGAACUCCUACACGUUGCGAGGGCGGCCGGUGAGCAGACCUAGCUACCUCCUUCAACAAGGCAGGCGCUUACGUAGUCCAACCCGGGGCGCGCCGCUCAGUCGCUGACGUCUAUUAAGCUUCGGCUGAUGUAUACGACGCAGAACGCCCAUACUAUGCCCACGUGAUGGUUAGUGCUAUCAGGCCAGAGGCCCCUCGGAUCAAAUAUCCAAAUCAUAGUGGAUUAGGAACACGCGGUAACAAGCAGAGACUCACAAAAGAUGUGACCCCGUUGCCCCGUCUCGAGGACUUGCGGCAAGGGCUAGGAAUGCCCGGCCAUGCCUCAUAAUUAUCUCGCGGGCACCCUCCAGAUCAACCCGACUCCACAUCACUCGCAAUUAAGCUCGCGCGGGUACCCCUCAGGGUCGACCCGUCUUUCCAAGUAACAGUGGUAAAGUCCAAGUAUCCGUGUGUCUAAACAUUAAGGGGAAAACCCGAGGAAUCACCCCCGGUGAAUUCCACUCGAUGUAAUCAUCAAGGUGAACGUAAGAGGAUCCACCCUCGAGGUUCACACUUGAGGGGUUGCACGACAGAGCCGUAUCAGAAGUGGUUAAGGAGGAAAUCACCCUCGAUGACCACGACCGAAUAGCUACACUACAGGUCAACAUCAGAAGUGUUGUAGAGGUCUCACCCUCGGCACUCAAUAGUAACACUGCAGAGUCGAGCAACGAAGGGGCGUGAUGUGACGUGAGGUGUCGGGUCCUGGUCUUCGAUCCGGUUGAUCGGGCCUUCUGAUAAUCCAGCGGGGCAGUCGAGUGAAGUGGGGGGGGGGUCACUGAUGGGUCUCUAACCAACCUAUACUAAGCAGUUUAGGAUAAGCAGGUAAGGUACAACAGCAGAUACAAAAGCAGGCUAUGCAUCAGAAUAGGAGCAAUCAAUAACAGUAGCAAAAUCUAAUGCCAGCAUAAAAGAAUGGAAUGGGCGAUAUCGGGAUCAUCAAAGGGGGGGCUUGCCUGAUUGCUCUGGCAAGGAGGGGUCAUCGUCGACGUAGUCGAUCACAGGGGCAACAUCGGUCUUGGGGUCUACCGGAGAGAAGAGGGGGAAGAAACAGUAAAUAUAAAGCAAACAUAGCAUCACAAAGCAUAACGUGGCAAUAAGUUGUGCCGGGUGUGACCUAACGUAUGGCUACACGAUAUAGGUGAAGGGGGAAUUCAACCGGGAAUGUUUUCCCGGUUCCGGACCUGUGUCACAUAGAUGACCGGAGGGGGAAUGUUCCAUGUUCAGAUAGUUAGAGGCAUCUGACAGGUAAACGGACCAUGUAUUCGGAUUCACCUCGUCGUUCUGAGCAACUUUCAUGUAGAAAACAUUUUCAUCCGAGAUACUGUUUACUUUCUAUGAAUUUUCAAAGUUUUAAAACAUUUUCUGGAUUUCUGGAAUAUAUCUAAAUUCGAAUUUAAAUAGUGCAUUACUUUUUAUACACACACACACACAGCUAGCCUAUUAGAAUGACAGUGGGGUCCAGUGGCUGAGUCAGCAUACAGAGUCAGCAAGUCCACAGUCAAUGUUUGACCUGGUCAAAGUGUGAAUAGUGGCCGUGGGGCCUACUUGUCAUUGACUACUAUUUUAACUAAAGGGGGAUAUAGUGUGAGGGACCACCUGUCAGAAACACAUUAGGCUAUUUAACAUAAGAAGUAGCAGCCCUAAACUAAUCUAAUUAGCACUAACUAAUCUGGAUAGGGCCGGCCUCAUACCCAGAAUACACGCACGCACACCACACAAGGCCAUGGCAGAGAGUCAGCCGGCCACCAGGCCGUGCCCACGCACGGGCGCACCUAGGGGCGCCGGUGGCUGAACCUGCAACGGCAAUAGCAUGCGGCGGUGCUAGCAGCAUGAUAACAGGCAGCAGGAAGUGGCACUAGUAGGGGCAAGCAGUAGAGCAGAAGCAGCAGCGGCGACUACUCGCGAGAGUAGCGGCGGCAGCUGCUGUGGCUUCCAGCAGGAGCGGCAAGGCAGGUGUGGGCUAGCGCGCGCUGGGCGACCAAGGCCGCGGCCCGACGCGGCCAGAGGCCUGCAAGCGCGGCUAGGGGCGCGUCAAUGGAGCAGCGGACAGGGGAGCGCGGGCGCGCGAAGCCGAGCUCCGUGUCAGGGCGGCCAACGUGUGGGGCGGCCAAACGACGACGAAUUUGAGGGGAAAGAGAUGGGGAAUGGAGAGAGGAGCUCACCUCGAGCCUGUAGGUGAGCAAAGCGGGCUCAGGGAGGUUUCGAUGAGGCCGAAUCGAAGACGGCAAGCAGCAGGGCGGAGGUUGAAGAUGACCUCGAUCCGGUCGAUGUGGGGGCUCCCGGCUUGACCUCGUGGGCGAGGAAGACGAAGUAGACGACAGCGGUUCCGCCGGACCUCCCAGCUCGGCGUGGGGGCGAUGAUGGCCGCGAGGUCGACGGCAACAGCGGCGACGGAGGCGUUCGGGAGUGGGGCGAAACUGGAGAGGGGAUCACCUGGGAGAGGGGGGGAGUGGAUGAGAGCGGGAGUGAGGCCAGGGAGGAACCGAGG